rnacentral:misc_RNA from 1 species
UUUCCGUAGGUGAACCUGCGGAAGGAUCAUUAUUGUAUAACCGAGGUGCGAGGGCUGUCGCUGACCCGUCAGGUCGUGCACGCCCGAGUGCCCUCACACACAUCCAUCUCACCCCUAUGUGCACCACCGCGUGGGUACCCCUUUGGCUUGUUCGGAGGGGGGCUUACGUUUUCACACAAACUUUGUAUGCAGUGUAGAAUGUAUUUUUUGUUUUUGCGAUCACGCAAUCAAUACAACUUUCAACAACGGAUCUCUUGGCUCUC